AUUGAACGCUGGCGGCAGGCCUAACACAUGCAAGUCGAACGGUAACAGGAAGAAGCUUGCUUCUUUGCUGACGAGUGGCGGACGGGUGAGUAAUGUCUGGGAAACUGCCUGAUGGAGGGGGAUAACUACUGGAAACGGUAGCUAAUACCGCAUAACGUCGCAAGACCAAAGAGGGGGACCUUCGGGCCUCUUGCCAUCGGAUGUGCCCAGAUGGGAUUAGCUAGUAGGUGGGGUAACGGCUCACCUAGGCGACGAUCCCUAGCUGGUCUGAGAGGAUGACCAGCCACACUGGAACUGAGACACGGUCCAGACUCCUACGGGGGGCAGCAGUGGGGAAUAUUGCACAAAGGGCGCAAGCCUGAUGCAGCCAUGCCGCGUGUAUGAAGAAGGCCUUCGGGUUGUAAAGUACUUUCAGCGGGGAGGAAGGGAGUAAAGUUAAUACCUUUGCUCAUUGACGUUACCCGCAGAAGAAGCACCGGCUAACUCCGUG
rnacentral:rRNA from 1 species